rnacentral:rRNA from 1 species
GACAGAGGCCUCAAGCGUUAGGCGGAAUCACUGGGCUUAAAGCGUGUGUAGGCGGAUCGUUAAGUGUCUUGUGAAAUCCCACGGCUCACCCGUGGAACGGCUGGGCAUACUGGCGAUCUUGGGCCAACUAGGGGCAACUGGAACAAACGGUGGAGCGGUGAAAUGCGUAGAUAUCGUUUGGAACGCCCAAGGUGAAAACAGGUUGCUGGGGAUGUACUGACGCUGAGACACGAAAGCCAGGGGAGCAAACGGG